rnacentral:rRNA from 1 species
UACGGAGGGUGCAAGCGUUGUUCGGAAUGACUGGGCGUAAAGGGCGCGUAGGCGGUCCAAUUAGUCAUCUGUGAAAUCCCAGAGCUCAACUUUGGAAUUGCAGGUGAAACUGUUGGUCUUGAAUACCAGAGGGGAUGGUGGAAUUCCUGGUGUAGGAGUGGAAUCCAUAGAUAUCAGGAGGAACAUCUGAGGCGAAGGCGGCCAUCUGGCUGUGUAUUGACGCUGAGGCGCGAAAGCGUGGGGAGCAAACAGG